CCCCUGAUAAACUGAGCGGCCUCCAAAAGCGCAGGGCGUGAAGCCCUAUACGCUGAGUAAUCUGCUCAAGAUCUUAACGAGCAGAAGGAGGCAAAGUUAGCAAAAUUCUUAUAGAAAAACUACACAUGACAAUUGCAUGUGGGUGGUCUGUUUUUAAUUCUGUAAACUUCAGGGAGCUCUGUCGUGUAGGAAAAAUAUCCUGAAAAUAUAAAAUAAUCAAUCUGAAAAGAUUAAGAAAAACUGAAAGAAAAAAAACCUCCAACUGCUAAAUUAGCAACAUUUUAAGUAUCCAAGCAUUAAAAAUACAAAUAUUAUGUUUAUCAUUAUAAUCAAGGAUGUUCCCCUACAUGCAGUAUCCACUUUUUGGAUCAAGGAACACCGUUUCACACGACCGAAUGCAGCAACCGGGUCCAACUGG